AAUGAACGCUGGCGGCGUGCUUAACACAUGCAAGUCGAACGAGAAAGGGAUUGCUUGCAAUCCUGAGUAGAGUGGCGCACGGGUGAGUAACACGCAGAUAAUCUACCUCCAAGCCCGGGAUAACUGUUCGAAAGAGCAGCUAAUACCGGAUGAAGUGAUUUACCACAAGGUAAAACAUGAAAGAUUGCCUCUUCAUGAAAGCAAUUGUUUGGAGAUGAGUUUGCGGACCAUUAGUUAGUUGGUGGGGUAAAGGCCUACCAAGACUACGAUGGUUAGCUGGUCUGAGAGGAUGAUCAGCCACACCGGAACUGGUACACGGUCCAGACUCCUACGGGAGGCAGCAGUGAGGAAUUUUGCGCAAUGGGGGCAACCCUGACGCAGCAACGCCGCGUGAGUGAAGAAGGCCUUUGGGUCGUAAAGCUCUGUCGACAGGGAAGAAGUUACAAUUAUCCAAUAGGUAGUUGUAUUGACGGUAC
rnacentral:rRNA from 1 species